rnacentral:rRNA from 1 species
UACAGAGGUCCCAAGCGUUGUUCGGAUUCACUGGGCGUAAAGGGUGCGUAGGUGGUGAGGUAAGUCGGAUGUGAAAGCUCGGAGCUCAACUCCGAAAUGGCAUUGGAAACUACCUCGCUCGAGGGUUGGAGGGGGGACUGGAAUUUACGGUGUAGCGGUGAAAUGCGUAGAUAUCGUAAGGAAGACCAGUGGCGAAGGCGGGUCUCUGGACAGUUCCUGACGCUGAGGCACGAAGGCCAGGGGAGCAAACGGG